GGAUUGGUUCGGUAACCUUUCAUCUCUUGAACGCUUCAGAAUAGCUGAUUGUCCUGAUCUAUCUGAAAGAUGCAAAGAGGGAGGCAAUGAUUGGCACAAGAUUACUCAUAUUCCAUCCAUUAUCAUAGAUUCAUGGUACCGAGACUUGUGAGCUGAAGUGCUCCCUCUCCAUGCGGAUAAGGGAUGAAAGUCGCCUGCUAAUCAUAGACGCUAUGCUAUGGAGUUGGUGUUGCUUGUUCAUAGUUGUUACUUGCACUGCGUAUUUUGAAUUCUUGGUGUUGAGAGGUUGUUUAGAAGGGGGAAUUAUAUCAGAGGGUCCUGAAAGUUGCAGCUAAGGAGUUCAGAUGGUGUAUGAGCUUGUACUGCUGGUUUUUCGGUUGCGAAAAGAUGGUUUUGGGGUGAUGCUGUUGAUAUUUUUACUGCUUGUGUUGUUGCUAAAGUUGUUGUUAACGCUACUGCAACUGUUGGUGUUGAUGUAGCAUGGUGCUGUUUUUUUUUUUUUUCCCUGGUUUUUCUGGCGUUGCUGCUGCUGCUAGUUUUUCCUGUUUUCUAUUGCUGCUUUUGCUGCUGGUGUUUUCUGGUUUCUGCAAAUGAUCCAUAGCUGGUAUGGUAUAAUGGUAUUUUCUGUUCUACAUUGGAAAUUGGAGGUACUGGUGCUUCGUUUCUGGCAGGCCUAUUUGGUAUUUGUUUUAGUUCUCUUUUUGGUUGGUUUUUGGCAAUCGUGUACCAUUUUUGUUGGGGUCAAGGGUGGCAUAUGGUUGUUGAGGAGUUAGGGUGACAACUUCGUUUGGGAUACUUUCUUCUUCUGAUGCCAUUGUGCUCUUGAUCCGUUUAAUUUUUGUGAUCAUUGUUUCAAAGAUUUAUAAUUCCUUUUAUUUGCUGUUCAAAGAAAAGUAGAGCAAGCUAUGUCUUAAUUCAUGACAUUUCCCAGUGCUUUUUAUACCAUUUUUGAGACGUUUCCAAAACUAUUACAAAUCCUAAAGCAACUUGUCAAAAUUCUUGAAAUAUGUUCCAACUCUCGAGAGAUUCGCUU